rnacentral:rRNA from 1 species
ACGGGAGGCAGCAGUGGGGAAUAUUGCACAAUGGGGGAAACCCUGAUGCAGCGACGCCGCGUGAGCGAUGAAGUAUUUCGGUAUGUAAAGCUCUAUCAGCAGGGAAGAAAAUGACGGUACCUGACUAAGAAGCUCCGGCUAAAUACGUGCCAGCAGCCGCGGUAAUACGUAUGGAGCAAGCGUUAUCCGGAUUUACUGGGUGUAAGGGAGCGCAGGCGGUUUUGCAAGUCUGAAGUGAAAGCCCGUGGCUCAACCGCGGGACUGCUUCGGAAACUGUAAAACUAGAGUAUCGGAGAGGCAAGUGGAAUUCCUAGUGUAGCGGUGAAAUGCGUAGAUAUUAGGAGGAACACCAGUGGCGAAGGCGGCUUGCUGGACGAUAACUGACGCUGAGGCUCGAAAGCGUGGGGAGCAAACAGGAUUAGAUACCCUGGUA